UUCACAGCCCUGGACAAUGAAAACCUCUAAUUAUCCACAGAACAGGCAGCAGCAAUGCAAACUUCCCAAAGUGCCUCUACUCUGACCAGGGGGAUGAGGGGGGAGUUCAGCAGGAGUGACCCAUUCAGUCCUUGGCCCGU
rnacentral:sRNA from 1 species